rnacentral:rRNA from 1 species
AUUGAACGCUGGCGGCAUGCUUUACACAUGCGAGUCGAACGGUAACAGGCCGCAAGGUGCUGACGAGUGGCGCACGGGUGAGUAAUGCAUCGGAACGUGCCCAGUCGUGGGGGAUAACUACUCGAAAGAGUAGCUAAUACCGCAUACGAUCUAUGGAUGAAAGCGGGGGACCGUAAGGCCUCGCGCGAUUGGAGCGGCCGAUGUCAGAUUAGGUAGUUGGUGGGGUAAAGGCUCACCAAGCCAACGAUCUGUAGCUGGUCUGAGAGGACGACCAGCCACACUGGGACUGAGACACGGCCCAGACUCCUACGGGAGGCAGCAGUGGGGAAUUUUGGACAAUGGGCGCAAGCCUGAUCCAGCAAUGCCGCGUGCAGGAAGAAGGCCUUCGGGUUGUAAACUGCUUUUGUACGGAACGAAACGGCUCUGGUUAAUACCCGGGGCUAAUGACGGUACCGUAAGAAUAAGCACCGGCUAACUACGUG